rnacentral:rRNA from 1 species
UUGAAGUAGUUGAGCUGGUCGUAAAGGCAUGUGCUCGCUACUUCUAUUCAUCCAUAUCCACCUGUGCACUUACUGUAGAGCUUUGAAGAGGGUCCUGGUAAAAUUCCUAGACUAGUAUUCAAGUUUCUAUGUCUUAUAAACUCUAUGAAUGUCUUGAAUGUAUCUUACUGGGACUUAAUUGACCCUUUAAAACUUUAAUACAACUUUCAGCAACGGAUCUCUUGGCUCUCGCAUCGAUGAAGAACGCAGCGAAAUGCGAUAAGUAAUGUGAAUUGCAGAAUUCAGUGAAUCAUCGAAUCUUUGAACGCACCUUGCGCCCCUUGGUAUUCCGAGGGGCAUGCCUGUUUGAGUGUCAUUAAAUUCUCAACUUUAAAAGUUUGUCUUUUAAAGAUUGGACGUGAAGGCUUGCUGGCGUUUCAAAUGUUCAGCUCCUUUAAAAAGCAUUAGUGGACCCGCUUGUGUUCAACCUUAGUGUGAUAAUUAUCUACGCUAUGGUCUUUUGAAUACUUGCUCAUUAGAACUUCGAGGUGUUUUUAGCAUUCUCGGUGUGGGGAGUUGCAAACUAGUUUUUGCUCUUUCUGUCUAUUGAGUUAGGAUUGUCUGCUUCGAACCGUCUGCGUAUGUGGACAACUAUUGAACCAUUUGACCUCAAAUCAGGUAGGACUACCCGCUGAACUUAAGCAUAUCAAUAAGCGGAGGAAAAGAAACUAACAAGGAUUCCCCUAGUAACUGCGAGUGAAGAGGGAAGAGCUCAAA